UGGUACAGUGCUACCUAGACUGCCUGUCCUUGGAUUAUGUAUCAUUCUCAAUGGACUGGUUCUUUCUUCUGUAUCAACCAGUGCUCCACAAGCAGUACAUCAAAGGUAUAUUGUGGCUAUCUGAAUAAACAACUCUAGUUUAACAGUACGACCACAUCAACUGCAAUAUCUUCGAUGAUUCCAUCAACAGAAAUUGUCCAAACUGCAUUACAGACAACCUUUAACACCUAAUCCGUUGCCAUUUACACACAAGACAAAUCACUACAGGUGAUGACAAUGACAGAGAACUUAUCACUCCAAGAAAAAUAAAAGACAAAAGGGAAUGCUGUAUUAUAGACCUUCCAUGUGUUCUCAAAGACCAUGUGCAACUAUUGGUAAAAAGUUAAAGCACCACAAAUAUGCUUGGUGACCUUCCACGUGUUCCCAAGGACCAUGUGCAACUUAUAGUAAAAAGGUUAAAGCACUACAAAUAUACUUGUUGACCUUCCACAUAGUCUAUGGACCAUGUGCAAUUUAUAGUAAAAUUAAAAAGUUAAAGCACCACAAAGAUAAUUCCUUCCAUUUUCCUAUGAACCAAAUUAUGCAACUUAUAGUAAAAAGGUUAAAGCACCACAAAUAUACUUGUUGACCUUCCACAUGUUCCCAUGGCCCAUAAGCCUGGCCAGAUCAUCUAUUGUCCUGUCCAUAUCUCCAGUAUCAUCAACAGACAGCCAGUGUGUAACCUCCCAGGUCCCAGGAAGACGAGGGAUAAUUAAACUGUUGAAAAGCAGCCAUUUGUCAAGCUGACACCCUUCAAGGCUCUUGUGUCAUCAGCCUGUCUUAAUU